AACAGGAUUCCCCUAGUAACUGCGAGUGAAGCGGGAAAAGCUCAAAUUUAAAAUCUGGCGGUCUCUGGCCGUCCGAGUUGUAAUCUAGAGAAGUAAUGCCCGUGCUGGACCGUGUAUAAGUCUCCUGGGAUGGGGCGUCAUAGAGGGUGAGAAUCCCGUCUUUGACACGGACUACCAGUGCAUUGUGGUAUGCUCUCAAAGAGUCGAGUUGUUUGGGAAUGCAGCUCAAAAUGGGUGGUAAAUUCCAUCUAAAGCUAAAUAUUGGCGAGAGACCGAUAGCGAACAAGUACCGUGAGGGAAAGAUGAAAAGAACUUUGGAAAGAGAGUUAAACAGUACGUGAAAUUGCUGAAAGGGAAACGCUUGAAGUCAGUCGCGUUGGCCGGGGAUCAGCCUUGCUUUUGCAUGGUGUACUUUCUGGUUGACGGGUCAGCAUCAAUUUUGACCGCUGGAAAAAGACCUGGGGAAUGUGGCAGCUUCGGCUGUGUUAUAGCCCCUAGUCGCAUACAGUGGUUGGGAUUGAGGAACUCAGCACGCCGCAAGGCCGGGUUUCGACCACGUUCGUGCUUAGGAUGCUGGCAUAAUGGCUUUAAGCGACCCGUCUUGAAACACGGACCAAGGAGUCUAACAUGCCUGCGAGUAUUUGGGUGGAAAACCCAAGUGCGUAAUGAAAGUGAAAGUUGAGAUCCCUGUCGUGGGGAGCAUCGACGCCCGGACCAGAACUUUUGGGACGGAUCCGCGGUGGAGCAUGUAUGUUGGGACCCGAAAGAUGGUGAACUAUGCCUGAAUAGGGUGAAGCCAGAGGAAACUCUGGUGGAGGCUCGUAGCGAUUCUGACGUGCAAAUCGAUCGUCGAAUUUGGGUAUAGGGCGAAAGACUAAUCGAACCAUCUAGUA
rnacentral:rRNA from 1 species